CCUACGGGAGGCAGCAGUGGGGAAUAUUGCACAAUGGGGGAAACCCUGAUGCAGCGACGCCGCGUGAGCGAUGAAGUAUUUCGGUAUGUAAAGCUCUAUCAGCCGGGGAGAAAAUGACUGUACCUGACUAAUAAGCCCCGGCUAACUACGUGCCAGCAGCCGCGGGAUUAAGUAGGGGGCACGCGUUAUCAGGAUUUACUGGGUGUAAAGGGAGCGUAGACGGGGGUGCAAGCCAGAUGUGAAAGCCCGGGGCUCAACCCCGGGACUGCAUUUGAAACUGUGCUGCUAGAGUGUCGGAGAGGCAGGCGGAAUGCCUAGUGUAGCGGUGAAAUGCGUAGAUAUUAGGCGGAACACCAGUGGCGAAGGCGGCAUGCUGGACGAUGACUGACGUUGAGGCUCGAAAGCGUGGGGAGCAAACAGGAUUAGAUACCCUGGUAGUC
rnacentral:rRNA from 1 species